GACGAACGCUGGCGGCGUGCUUAACACAUGCAAGUGGAGCGACGAACCAGGCUUCGGCCUGGGGCAGAGCCGCGAACAGGUGAGUAACACGUGGGUAACCUGCCUCGAUGAUCGGGACAACCCGGGGAAACCCGGGCUAAUACCGAAUGUGCUGCACUCACAUCAGUGAGUGUUGAAAAGGAAGCUUCGGCCUCCGCAUCGAGAUGGGCCCGCGGCCCAUUAGCUUGUUGGUGAGGUAACGGCUCACCAAGGCCGCGAUGGGUAGCUGGUCUGAGAGGACGAUCAGCCACACUGGGACUGAGACACGGCCCAGACUCCUACGGGAGGCAGCAGUGGGGAAUCUUGCGCAAUGCGCGAAAGCGUGACGCAGCAACGCCGCGUGGGGGAAGAAGGCCUUCGGGUUGUAAACCCCUUUCAGGAGGGACGAAGGUUGGGCGGUUAAUAGCCGACCUGACUGACGGUACCUCCACAAGAAGCCCCGGCUAACUACGUGCCAGCCGCCGCAGUAAAAC
rnacentral:rRNA from 1 species